UUCCGAGGACAUUUUCGAAUGAUUUAGAAGUCAUGGGAGAUUGUACGAAGCUUGGAGAAGUGUGGAAGUAGUUCGAUCGAUCUUAUUUCGAAAACGAACGUUAUUUAGGGGCACGUGAAAAUCGACUUUUUAUACGUACCAAAUUUGGGAAAAUUUCCUUGAUGAAAGUUGUAGGGCUCGUCGAUAUGAUCGCGUGCAUAUGCGGAAAACAAAAAUCGGAGUUCGUAUGAAUUAGUUAUGAUUUUUUUGAAGAAGUUUCCAGUUUAAUAUAAAAGCUACCAUUUUUGGCAAUUUUCCAAAAAUACCGUCAGUUUCCAAAAUUGGAAGCUGAACUUCUCUCUCUUCCUCCCGCGUCCGAACGGAGCCGAAAGCAGGGACUAAGUUCUCCGGCCAAUUUCUUCCUCUUCCGGCCACCUCUGGACGAUCAACCACGUCCAGCAGCUUCGUCUCACUCCUCUGAAGUCGUCUGUGGCAACCUUGCACGGUGGCGAGGCCCCUAGCGGCGGCGGCGAGCCGGUUUCGAUUAAAGCUCAAAAUUGGUCAACGCUGGUUUUCUCCAAGUUCCGGCCACCAAAACUUCCGAUCCUUGGCUCCAUGAACUCCCCUCAACCUGCUGAUCAUCAUACUAGGAGGAUUGCACCUAGAGUGACCGGUUUCACGUUCGUCGGAGCUCGUGGGUUAACCUUGAUGUCCUUAGCAACUCUCUAGAAGGAAUCGAGGCCUGAAAUUGAAGUUUUUACGUCGAAAAUCGAGUUGGUCGGUUUCUGCAAAUUUCCGCCGGAUUCUGGAAAAUUCCGGUCACCUUCAUACUGUUCAAGGUGAUUGACGGUCUUCCUUGGGUGAGCGGUUUCGGUGUGUAUUGUGUUGAAGUGAAGACGCAGCGGGACUAGAGGUGAGACCUACUCUUGAAGAGCCUAAAGCUGAAACCAGAGGCUUUGAAAAUCCAAUUUUGAAGGUCUGGUAUUGAUUCCAUUCUCACUCUGUUCACUAGGUUUCAGUUCCGACAUACUUUUCCUCCAAAAUUUUAUUUUGAUUCUCUAUACACUGACUUCAUUUAUGUACAUAUUGACUGUUUGGAUUUUCUUUUCUUUUCUUUUUCCUUCGUCUUGAGUUUCUGAAGAUGUUGGUUUAGUUUUCACCCAAAGGAGGGAAAGAUUUGAUGCUAGGAUGCUCCAUAUUCUCAUACUGUGUGCUGGAGAGAGCUUAAGAUUUGGAAUUUAUUGGGUUUUGUUGACUGUAGGAGUGGAAACAAAACACUGCUUUCAGUGCUUUGACUCUUCCUUUGUACUAGUAUUUUGCUGGGGUUUCUUUUUUUAACCAAAUAUUGUGCAAGUGAUUAACCACAGAAAA